CUACGGGUUGCACCAGUGGGGAAUAUUGCACAAUGGGGGAAACCCUGAUGCAGCGACGCCGCGUGAAGGAUGAAGGAUUUCGGUUCGUAAACUUCUAUCAGCAGGGAAGAUAGUGACUGUACCUGACUAAGAAGCCCCGGCUAACUACGUGCCAGCAGCCGCGGUAAUACGUAGGGGGCAAGCGUUAUCCGGAAUUACUGGGUGUAAAGGGUGCGUAGGUGGUUACUUAAGUCAGAUGUGAAAGCCCGGGGCUCAACCUCGGGACUGCAUUUGAAACUGGGUAACUAGAAUACAGGAGAGGUAAGUGGAAUUCCUAGUGUAGCGGUGAAAUGCGUAGAUAUUAGGAGGAACACCAGUGGCGAAGGCGACUUACUGGACUGUUAUUGACACUGAGGCACGAAAGCGUGGGGAGCGAACAGGAUUAGAUACCCUCGUAGUC
rnacentral:rRNA from 1 species